GAACUUAACUGGGUAGACACUUUUAAAAAUUAAUCAUAGAAUAUCAGUGUUGGAAGAAGCUUAAGUCUUGCCGUUUGCCAGUUUGAUUCAGGUCAACAGCUGUCCACCAAGCAUUCUCUGUGCCAAGCGCUCUGCUAGGAAUGAGGACGGUGGGAGGUGGAGAAGCGGCCGCGUCCACAGCGGAGGGCGGGCAGGGAAGGCGGCGCACCCACGUUAUCGGGAUGCUGAUGCUCAGCGAGAGCGUCUGGGAAGGAGGCGUGUCCCGGGCACCACGUGACUGUGGCCCCGGAGGAGAAAGGCACUUUUGCUUGAGGGGAGGCCUUCCGAAGAGAGAGAUAUAGGAAGUGGAUCUUAAUCUGCCGCAGAUUCCCCAGCCCCUGGGGGCAGCCCUCCACCCUAAGAGAAACCGAGACAUGGAUGAGUCAGGACAUGCCUUCCCUGCCGACUCGCCCGGCCUGCUCGGGAUCAGAAUCAGCCAACACCCAUUCCCAACACACUGGUUACACCAUCCACUCGCCACCCUCGAGCUGGGACCCACCCAGCUCUGCCUUUAAGGGUGGCGCUCGGCUUGCUGUUCUGCGGAGGCCCACACCCUCUCUGUGGCUUUAUCCUCUACUUUAACCCUCCCACAGAAGCACAGACAGAUUAUCCCGGCCCCUGGGAAGCACCUCCAGUUCUCAGGCAUCGGGGGAAGCCAGCCGCCAUAUCCGGGCUCCACUCAAGCAGCCCUGUGAAAAGCCCAAUGGCAAGGAACUGAGGCCUCCAGUCGCCAGCAGUGUGAGUGAGCCUGGUUGCUAUUGGAUCCCCCAGCCCUGAUGGAGCCUUCAGAUGACUGUAGCCCUGGCCAACAGCUUGAGCACAACCUCACGAGAGACUCCGAGCUAGAACCACCGAACUAAGCUGCUCCCAGAUUCCUGACCCACAGAAACUGUGAGAUAGUAAAUGUUUAUUUUAAACCACUAAGUUUUGGGGUGCUUUGUAACGCAGCAUUAGAUAAUGAAUAUAAGCACUGUCGUCACAGGUUCCAAUCCCAGCUCUACUUGGCAGUUCUGUGCCCUUAGCCAAGGCAUCUAACCCUUGAGGACCACUAGCUGCCUCCAACAGUAGAGGAAGCCACUGCUUGAUCCUACAUCCCUGGAAAGAACACCAACCUAGAGUCAGAUCCAGCGACUAGGGGGCCUCCCCAGAGGCCAGCCAGUUCCCUUGGGGGAAGAAACUAGAUCACAUUUCCUUCCAAACAUCUUCCGUCUUACACCUGACACAGGCUUUCAAACUCAAAAGUCAAGGUUUUGUCAACUUUAUUCUCUGCAAGGCAAUGGGCCCUGAUUCCAGCGGCCUGAGCACGAGGAAGGCCCUUAGGGUAAGUGAGGAAACUCAAGUUCAUGCAGAUCUCCCCCAGGCCUUUUACCAGCUCUGGGCGUCCUUCCCCUGGCUUCUGCAUGCUUUGCUGCUUAGGGCUGACCCCUGUGACUCUGACCCUUACGGAGAGCUGGAAGUGCCCGGGAGCUCUCCAUCCCCUACCCGACUCCAGCAGCCUGUGGCCAAUAACUGACUGAUGUGGAGGAGAAACAGCAGCUCCUUUGCCUGCAGGUGAGCCAAGCCCAGAGCUCCUCACAGGCUCAGGCCGAGGCUGCCACUUCACCCGAAACCUCCUCUGGGGGGCUUCUUCUCCUCCCUCUCCUGCUUUCCCCACUCCCCUCUAGGUUCUCCUGGACACACUGCCUUAAUAAAUUCCUGGCGCCCAAAUCCUUGGCUCAGGUUCUGGAAGAAUCUGACCUGAGAUUGCAGAAGGAUCUGACCUGGUCAGCACCUCCCAAGAGUCAGGCCAGCAGUUACCGUUAUUGGACACGUGCUUAUGUGUUGGGCUGCGCCCCCUACAUUUACAGCCAGAUGUCAACAGGAUUAUUUUGGGUGCCAACUCACAUCUGGAGAAACUGAGCAUUCAGGAAGUCAGGAGACGGGCCCAAGCCCUGCAGACGGCACAGGCAGAUGCUGGCACUGUCUCAGAUCUGUUCCUCCAAAGCCACACUUGUGGUUGCACCUCUCUGCCUCCCCGGUCUAGGCUGGUUGGGAAGUGUUUCUACUUGUUUGUUUUUUUAACCCAGAAACACAGACGCACUUAUCAGGUUACCGCUAGAACCACAUACGUGCCGGAGAAGAGGCAGCCCUGGAAGCUCAGCCGUUAACGGCAGUACCAGGAUUCCAACCCGCGUGCUUGGUUCUGUCCCGGACACAGGGCCGGAGGCAAUGCUGCUGCCUGCUCCCUUGGCAAUGAAGCCUGGUGUUAUCUGCAGCUGGGGUGAUGGUGGACACUCGAACACUGUUCCCCAAGGCCUGGCAGGGUGAAGAAGUGCACUUUCAGAUGAACCCCAAGUUCCAGCUUCAGACUCCCUGGGGAGAUGUUCUCAGCUGGAGGCAGUGCCCUAAGCAUCACUGGAAACAUCUCGGGGGGUGAGCUGGGCCUUCCCCAGGCAAUCCUGGUCUGCCCCUCGUCUCAUCUCCAUGAGCUCUCUCACGUUGUGCUCCAGCUACCCUGAACACACAGAGCCGCUGCAUCCCUCCGGGCCUUUGCGUGGGCUGUUCCCCUUGCCUGCGGCACCCCCUCCAUGCUUCACUCUGUAAAGAUCUCCUAAAAUGUUGAUUACAUGGAUGGCAGUGUGGUCUAGUGGUUAAGGGCUUGGGAUCAGGCUCGAAAUCCUGUGGCCUGGGCUCUGUUCCAGGCUCCGCUGCUGAACAAACGUGUGAAUGUGGGCAAGUUAUUCAACGUACAUAUGGCUCUUGUCAUACAGUUCUCCGGGCCAGCACUGCUCUGGAGCAGAUGGGGUGUAGACAGGGCACUCGAGACACAGGGUAUACUUUUAGUGUUUAAUUUUAAUUGAUAUGGAUUGACCUGCUUGUCCCUCACCUGGAGUGGUAGGAUGCACUUUGCCAGACAAAGGGACAACAUAGUCUUGGAGGUAACGAUUCAGACCGCCUCCACCUGAGACCCUCUUCCCCAGGAGUGUUGGGUUCAAAUCCCAGCUCCUCCUUUUCUGGCUAAAUGACUUUGGGCAAGUAUCUGAUCUACUUCCCAAGGGUGUUGGAAGGACCGAUAAGUGCUUUGGACAGCGUAAAGGACGUGCCACUAAAUUGGGAGAUGUUAGGGCCAAACAGGGGCUUCCUGGAGAUGAAAAGAGGCAAAGUGUAGCUUUCUAAUGGUGAAAUUUCAAGCACAUGCAGGCCAGAAGGGGCGCUGCAUUUAGAAGCUGGGGACCUGUGAGUCCCAGCAGGCCCGGCUGUGACGGUCUCACAUAAAGCUGAUUUGGGGCUCAGGUAAAGCUCCAUCAGUCCCAAUGGCAGGGAAGCUCCCAGCAGUUGGGCAUUGAGAGGGAAGAGUUCUUGGCAAAAUAAAGCUUCCAUUCAGGAAAAGCUGUGUGUGGAACUAUGCCAGGCGCUCACAUGGUUUAUAGUGGCUCGUUUGCAUGAUGACAGCUCUGCAAGGCAGAUGUCAUUAUACCCGACUUAUAAGUGAGCAAAUUGAAGCUCAGAGGGGUGGCAACCUGCCCAAAGAUACACAGUUCAUUAAUGGCAGUGCCAGGAUGCUAACCCAGGGUGGCUGAUUCCAACGUGACAAGUAACGGUCACUGAUUGCAUGUUACAAAUCAUCCUCUCCUAUGUUUUCUUGCUUGACCUUAAUAUCAACCUCUGAGGUAACAAAUGAAUGCCUGGCCCAGGUCUGGCUCACAGUGGGUCCUUGUGGUCCAUCCUUGGAGCUGAUUGGUGGUCAUUUCUCCAGUCCCCAAACAUAUAAUGCGAAUGGAUAUACAUUUACUUGGGAGUAAAAUCCUCGUUGGAUCCUCAGCCUGUGGGGUGGGAGCUGCCAUGGUGGAAAUGGCCAAACAGAAGGCCCUGAAACUACUCCCACCUGUAUCACAUCGCUAGGAGAAUGGCAGAGACUAGGGCCACUCUUAACACCCUAAAAGAUGCAAGGAUGGUAGUCCCCUACAAAAGGCAGAGGGGUCCUGGAAGAAGACAGUGAACCACCUCAAACUUCACCAAGUAGUAGCCUGAUGGCUGUUGCCAAAUGCCCUAUCUUUGCUCGAGCAGAUUAACAAGACCUCAUAUAUGUGGUAGAUAGCCGUUAAGCUGGCAAAUGCAGUUUCUUUUCUUCCCCCCACCCCAUCCUUAUCAGAAAGAAUUCAAUUUCACUUGGGAUGGACAGCAGCACACAUUGAUGAGCCUGCCCAAGGGCUCUGUUACCUCUUCUGCCCUCUGUCAUAAUAUAGUCCAAAGGGACCUACCUCACCUGGAGAUCCCUCAGAACACCCUUGGUGUGCUGCAUUGAGGAGAUCAUGUAAUCGGAACAGAGGAUCGAGAAGUUGCAAGUGUGAUAGAGACGUUAAUAAGACACAAGCACUCCAGAGGGUGGAAGAUAAAUCCUAUGACAGCUCAGGCACCCACCAGACUGGGCAAGCAUUCAGGGGUCCAGUGGUGUGGGGGCAUGCCAGAACAGCCCCUCCGAUGUAAAGAGUACAUUAGAGAAUUAAUGGAGCGGGUACCCUGAGAGGAUGGGGGGUCAUCCUCCAAGAGUCACUACGUACCCUGGCACCCUAAGUCAAUGGGCAUCAUAUGGUACUGUGUCCCCAUUAGAGAGAAUACACACUCUGGAAACCAAAGAGGGAGAGCCAGAGUGGCCCUACUUACUGUCACUUCUGGGAACACAGUUGGAGAAUUUCAUGUCCCAUCCCCACACUGCAGGUUUAGAAAUCCUGGUUUCCAGAAAAGAAAACACUUCCACCAGUGACACAGUGACGAUUCCAUUAAACCCCAAGCUGCGGCUGCUGCCUGGUCACUUUGGGCUCCUCAUGCCCAGAGGCCAGCAGGAAAGGAGAGGAGUCACCUUCUCAGCUGAGGUCAUGGACUGUGGUCAUUGGAAAAAGCCCAGCUGCUGAAACACGAUGGGGGCAGGAAAGAAUAUAUUUGGCACCCAAGCGGUCCACAGGGGCAUCUCUUCGUUCUCCUGUCCCCAAUUUUGACAAGAAAUGAACAGGUACAUGGAUCAAGAAGGGCAUAGUGAUGAGGGGCACAGACCUUUCAGGGAUAAGGGUCUCAGUCGCCCCACCAUCCAAGCCACCGCCAGUGGAGGUGAUAGCUCAGGGUGAGGGGACGUGAGAAUGGAUGGUGGAGAAGAGGAUGGUGAGUAUCAAUUACACCCUCAAGACCAGCUGAAUAUCAGCCCUCUAACCUUCCCCCUGUAAGAUUCCCCAGGAAAAGAGGCCUAACAGAAUCUGGAGGAGCUGCUUCCAAAACUUAUCCUAUGAAACUAGUGAAUUCGAGCAGCGCAAGGGGCGGUGGACGCUACGUGCACGGCCCAGAUACAUCCUCCCGGCUCCAGCACUGAAGACUCGCACCGCCAGCUCCUGAGGGCUCAUGGCUGAGUCCCCCUCCGGGACUUGCCCUCAGCUGCAGAGAACCCGCUUAGCCAAGGUCAAGUUCUGUCCACAAGGGCAACUCGCAGUCAAUGACUGGUCACUGUGGCCCCACAGCCUCGCCCCCAUUUAGGUCAACUCAGAAGACCUUGGAAGAACCCAGAGCUCUCCAUAGGAUGGACUGAGGUCUUGGUCACAACUGAAUCACGUUCAAACUCUCCCUCUGGGGACAACCUGCUCUCUUCACUCCACUAGAGGCCUUGAUCCCAAGAGCCCUCUCCAGCAAGCCUGGAUUUGGCAGACAAAUCUAUGCCCAACGUGUUUCCUAGGGACCCACUUGAGACAGAGACCCCCAUCCAACCAGUCUCCACUGAAGGUUCUGGAAUAGGAAUCUCAUCCCACACCAGGGGAGCCAGAAGUAAGAUUUUAUUUUUCUGUUACUUAACCCAGCUUCUAAGGAAGCCCCGUUCUGCUCAGGUGCUGGACGUUUACCCUGGUGUGAAGUUCAAGUUCAGGGGCUCACACUGGAUGGAGGACCCUUGAGGCCCCUCUGGACCUUCCAUCCUUGACACGCCCACCCGCAGCUCUGCCCCAGCCUCGGGAAUCCUUUCUCACCUCCAGAAGAAGCACCGCGGUCCUCAACUCCCUCCCGCCCCAAACUCCUUUUCUCUGCCCCAGAUCUUUUCAGUCCAAAGUUGUGAACAGGCGUGGGACAGGUGUGCCCAUGGAAUUAGCUGCAUUCUAAACUUUUGAUCAUCAACAUUUACAAAUUAAGAAAUCCCACAUGAAAAUCCGUACCUUUCUGCUUCCCUGGAAAGAAGAGAUGAGGUAUCCUUUAAUUCCCCCGAUGGCAACUGAAGCACGAGCUGCCCCCUUCGGCUAGACCGGCUGGCUGUGGUCCUUCCUGCAGUCCAGCUGGCCGCCAGCUUUCCUCGCUCAGCCACUGCCCCCGCCUGGUGCCAGGGCAACUGUUUGCUGCCCUGGGCUCCCUAAGGGCUCGGGGCUGCAGCUUUGGAGAUACAAGUCUGCCAGUCUCUUCUCUUCUGAGGCGAUGGUGGGGAAGGGGUUGCUGGGGGUGAGAGGGAAAGGCCGAGAGAGAAAGCUCCUCGAGGUGGGUCGUGAAGGCUGGAGAGCACUUGGGAAGUGGAAAGAAGAGGAGAGGACAUCCCAGGCCGGGAGAACCAACUGAGCAAAGGCCAGGAGGUAGAACGGGGCUGUCCCCACCGUGAGACGGUGCAGGCGCCUGUCUGAUUGAACCACAGGACCCCAGGUUACGGAGCACUGGGGGAAAGCUUGGCAGGGACACUGGGGACAGAGUACAGACAGUUACCUUGACCUACCCAAAUCCCAAGCUGUGGACGGCCAGAGACACAAAAUCAAUUACUUCUCUGAGAGUUUUGUGUUUCUGAAUGACAUAAGUAGAAGAAAGUGGGUUCACACCAAGCUAUCCUCCAGACCCAGGUCUAUGCCAAACCAAAAGGCAAUUCAACUCAACUGACAAUUUUGGCUAAUAUUUUGUUCAAGGCUCUGUGCUAGGCACAGGGAGGAGGGGAAUAAUGAAGGCCACAGUAGGGAAAACCGGGUGCAAGUUCUCUGACAUUCCUCACAUCAAACGGCGGAAAACAAUUCCCCUUCCUUUGCAUAUGGGUGACCCUUAGCAACUCAAUUCUCAUCAGGAAAAUACAGCAGAACGACACUGUGUGACUCCUGAGGCUAUGUCAUAAAAGGCAAUCGAACUUCCUCCUCUCUAGCGCUCUCUCCCCACCCCCACUCCCCGCCGCCCUCCUCUGAGGGGCCCAGGCCACAGAGAGGGAGGCCAUGUGUGGGUGCUCCAGCCAAUGGGCCCACAUGAGGUCCUAGCCAACAGCCAGGACCAACCACCAGCCGUGGGAGUGAGCGAGCUUUCAGAUGAUUCCUGCCCCAGCCUCUGGCUGUCCCAGCUGUCACCAUAAAGAGGAGUAAAAUAAAGGUGUCUUCCGGCGUUUUGUCUGCAGUAAACGUUUUCCUGCCAAGAGCUUUUUCUGAAAGCAGAAUUGUCUCCUCAGGACAGAUUCCUGGGAGAGAAACGACGGGGUCAGAAGUUGUGGGCAUCUUUAUGGCUCUGGAUAUCCAUCCCUCAUCAAAGAUCAUGGUGACUUUUUUUAUUUUGAAUUGUGAUUCUUGUAGUUGAUGCUGUUAUUGUUACGAAAGGAUUAGAUGAUCGAUGUAGAAAACCUGGAAAAGUCGAAAGAUGCAAAUAAAAAUCUCCCGUAUUUCACCCACCUAAAUGGAAUCCUUAUCAGUAACGUGUUGGUGUAUCUUUUUCCUGUAUUUAUUUUUCUUUAAUGUAAGUUUUAGGGUUUUUUGUUUGUUUCAGUGCAUGCAUGAAUUAACAUAAUUGUGAUGAUACUCUGAAUAAAUUGGAGAUCACAGUUUUCUUAGGGCAUUGCAGCUAAGCAUUCUCCACUCUGUUGCAAACUCUUCAGAAAUACCCAUUUAAGAAAUGUAUGGUUUUCCUUUGGGCAGACGUAUCCUCAUUUACU